rnacentral:SRP_RNA from 1 species
UUUCGGUCCCCCCGCAAUGAUACUCUGUGAACCCGGCCAGAUUCGGAAGAAAGCAACCGUAGCAGACGACUCAUGUGCCGGGGUGUGGCUGAUUGGG